UAGGGAAUCUUCCACAAUGGACGCAAGUCUGAUGGAGCAACGCCGCGUGAGUGAAGAAGGUUUUCGGACCGUAAAGCUCUGUUGUUGGUGAAGAAGGAUAGAGGUAGUAACUGGCCUUUAUUUGACGGUAAUCAACCAGAAAGUCACGGCUAACUACGUGCCAGCAGCCGCGGUAAUACGUAGGUGGCAAGCGUUGUCCGGAUUUAUUGGGCGUAAAGCGAGCGCAGGCGGAAGAAUAAGUCUGAUGUGAAAGCCCUCGGCUUAACCGAGGAAUUGCAUCGGAAACUGUUUUCUUGAGUGCAGAAGAGGAGAGUAGAACUCCAUGUGUAGCGGUGGAAUGCGUAGAUAUAUGGAAGAAUACCAGUGGCGAAGGCGGCUCUCUGGUCUGCAAACUGACGCUGAGGCUCGAAAGCAUGGGUAGCGAACAGGAUUAGAUACCCUGGUAGUCCAUGCCGUAAACGAUGAGUGCUAGGUGUUGGGAGGCUUCCGCUUGCUCAGUGCUGCAGCUAACGCAUUAAGCACUCCGCCUGGGGGAGUACGACCGCAAGGUUGAAAC
rnacentral:rRNA from 1 species